AAAGAGUUGAGCUCCGCCGCACUGCGCAACCCGAUCAACAGGCAGGCAGGCUGGCAGGCUGGCAUAAAUCAAUCACUUCCUGCAGUUUGAGCAAUUGGCCAGCGAAACUGUGGAUUGUGGCACCGUUCCUCCGCCCUGCGGGCCCUUCAAUUUGGUUUUGCAUGGACGAUUGUCUGGCGAAAUGUUAUUUAUGGGGCCACAUCAGAAAAC
rnacentral:lncRNA from 1 species